rnacentral:rRNA from 1 species
GGGUCGCAAGCCUGAUCCAGCAAUACCGCGUGUGUGAAGAAGGCCUUCGGGUUGUAAAGCACUUUCAAUUGGGAGGAAAACCUGCCGGUCAAUACCCGGUAGCUUGACAUUACCUUUAGAAGAAGCACCGGCUAACUCCGUG